ACCUUUUUCUUUUCCAGCGGAGAGCACUUUUCUCUUCUUCAAUCUUCAAGAAAUCUGCAGAGUACCCCAUCUUCACUAGAUUUGAGGUUUCAUCAAGAAAUCCAUCAUCUAAUGAAAACCCAUCAUCAAGAAAUCUCGAUCUACAAAUCCAUCAUCUAAAUCUAAUCAAACCCCAUCUUCAGCAGAUUUGUUCCCCUGAAAUCUAAAAAUCAAAUCAUUCAACCUCCGAUGUAAACUAGUUUAUAGGAUUAUCAAUCAUCAGGCAAUUGUGACAGAACAUGAGCAGAUAGCAUCUCACAUUGUGGGUUGGCUAAACAACUUUUUUAAAGGUUCCAGCCACAAAAUAUCUGAAGGGCAAUAUCAAGGGAAACAUGAGGAGGAGCAAGUUUGGAAUGAGCCUUCUACUAAUGCAGAGAAGAUCGGUCUUGAGUACGUCGAUGUUGAAGGUCUUAAGAAGGUUAACAAGAACAAGAAGUUGGUCAAGAAGCUUGCAAAGAAGUUCCAUGCUUUUCUAGCCUCAGAAGCUGUUAUCAAGCAGAUUCCCCGCCUUCUUGGACCUGGUCUUAACAAGGCAGGCAUGUUUUUCUACCAAGAACGACUCAAUCAUCUCCACUACAACUUAAGUGGGACGUGGAUAGUGCUACACUACAAUUUGUGGAAUGUUUAAACUUGAAGCAUCCAAGCCAUUUCAUGACUAAUAAAUAACAUGCACCACAUCUCAUUUCUAUCAAAAUAAAAGAGCCCUUUUCCAACCUGGGGACAUCAGUUCUCUACGAAAUUUGGUUGUUCAUGAUGGCUGAAGCAAUGCAACGUGGGCAACAGAAUUUGGGUUGUUUCUGUGGUCGACGUUGAGGGAUGGAUGCAGGUAUGGACAGAUAUGUGAAUGAAGAUUAGGUUUGGGGUUUCAUAUGCUGUCUGAAUUUGGUGGGUCUCGACUGAAAUUAGUGCUGAAUGAUGGUGGUCAUGUAUAGAGUUUAAACGGUGAUAAAUCUGUAUUAUGAAGUUACAUUUCGUUGCUCGAUCUGUGCUGUGGCCGGAAUUCCAUCGAGAGAACUCAGGGAAAGAAGGUUUUGCCGCUGCCUGAAAUAAGAAGAACUGAUGGGUAGGCGAUGGGUCAUUGAAAGCAGCAGAAAAAUGGGUUUUGUGGUUAAAUGAUCUGGUUCAUAAAGAUGGGUUUUGUGUGUUGUCUGGAUUGGAUUAGAUUGAGAAUUGGCAGCGAACAAAGGGAAUGGUGGUGCUUCCCAGUAUCUAACAGCUGCUUCAAUUCUUGAGAAUUCUCGGAAGAGAAAUGGCGUGGAUGGUGAUCAACUAAUCUGGGUUGUGGAUGGUGUUUACGUUGAGAAACUGAUACUUACAGCCAUGAGUUCAAUGGGUAUUCUCUAGUGGCAAAGAAAUGUUGUGUGUGUCGACUGCGAUGGAUUUUGAGAUGGAUUGUAUAUGGGUUGGUUUGAAUUGGUCUUAUGGUCAGUUGGAAGGAGCUGAGACUUGGUAACUGGAAGUGAAGUAGGAUUGUGGUUCAUCUGUUGAAGCCAAUGGUUCUGAGAUGGGAGAAAACUGAAUCUAGAUGGUGUUGGUUAAGAGCAGCAGUAGGAAUGAUGUUGGUGGUUAUCGAAUGGGAGUUGUGCCUAGUUCUGCGAAGGUCAGGGAAAUGAAGUUGCUGGAGCUUCCAAGAGUGGUUUUGGUGGUUGCUGGGUCCGUAUUAUGAGAGCCGAAUGGAGGUGGCUCGGAUAGUGGCAGUUCGAGAUAGAAAUUUGAAGCUACAACUUAGGGAAGAACUGGUGAUCAACUUCCUUGGUGAUCAACUGGAUGUGUAUGAGAAGGUUAAGCUGGGAUUUCGAAGACAAGAUGCUCAUAAAGUUCAGAACUCUGCAGGUGUGAUGACUCUUGAUAGCUCGACUGGUGGGUCUGAAUCUUUCUCCCAGCAUCAGCAGCAUUGUGCAUGGAUGGUAAGACCGAGGAAAUGGAUUAGUUGGUCAAGUUAUGCAGUCGGUGGUGAAAUCGACAGAAGCUUGGUGCUGUUACCGGAUUAAGGUCCAGCGAAUAGAGAUUGGUGAUGUGGUCAGUCUAGGUAGGAGUUGGAUUUGGACAUCGGUGGAUUGAGCCUUGGCACAACUAGGUGUUAAUUGGACUUCCUCAGCUAUGGUUAAGUUUCAAUUGAAGAAAGUGCUAUGCAUGGGUGUUGAUGUUGGUGACCUUGGUAUGGAUGACAAGCAGAUCUUCCAGAACGAUCAUCUCAGUGUCAACUUUCUAGUAUCAUUGCUGAAAAUCAAUUGGCAAAAUAUGAGGUUCUUGUACAUGAAUAUUUCCAUGGGAAAUCCAGUCCGUAUCUUCUAAGAAUUACAUUUCUAUAAUUGUAAUGGAACAGGUGAGGUUCUUGUACUUAAAGAGUACCAUGGGAAAGCCAGUCUGUAUCUCCUAAGCAUUACAAUUUAAUAAUUGUAAUGGCAAUUCCUAUAUGCUAUUCAUGUUUCGGGAAUGCCCUGCGAGUCUGUAACCAGAUAGAGCCAACGUCGAAACCUCCUAUCUCCGAGCUUGGUCCAGAUGCGCUGCUGGAGCCUAUGACAACAUAUGAGUUCUUUCAGUUACUGAGAAAGAAGAAGAUUGCUAUUGAGCCUCUUUUACUUUACCAGGUAAAGAGCAUAUUUUGAAUAUGAGAUCUGCUGAAAAUUUCAAGUGGGAUUUUGCAAGACUUCUCAGAAUGUAACAACAGAAGUUAGGGUUUUCAUAGUUUCAAAUUCAGAAACUUGUGUUUAUAACAUUUGGGAUUUUGCAGGAUUUUGCACAAGU